rnacentral:lncRNA from 1 species
GUGAAAACAACUCCAACAACUUUGUAAAAGUUUUCAUCAAUGUUCACAAAUCAGCCGUUUCAGAAAUAAUUGUUCAUGAAAAUGUUCAUUAAAAUCAGAGGUGACGUUUGGACAGUAGCCAAGCAGGGCAAUGUUUGUCCAUCAGUUUCUAUUUAUGGCCAAAUAUUAUGUUGCUAGGUAACAGCCAGCUCUAUCAGAGUUAUCAAAUUAGCAUUAGCAGCUCAGUGAGCGGCAGAAACGUAUAUGUCUGAUGUCAUCUGUUCCCUUCUGCAGCCUCAAAGAGAAACACAAAGAAAUGUUCCAGCGGAAGAUGCAGAAGCUACUGUUGGAACUGACUAACAUCAGUGACACAAAAACCACACAAACGCCAGUAAAUGGUGUUUAUUUGUCUGGCCAUUGUAAUUUACUGUGACUAAAUGGAUGCUGAAAUAUUGACAAAUCCUUUCCAAGGAUCCAUAAAACGAGCUAUCUCACAAAGGAGUGCUCUAGACACAAACUAUAAAAAGUCUUGGUCUGGCAGGUUGCCUGAAGGGCAAGUGAAAACAAAGGCCACCUACGCACAGACUAUCAGUGACAAGAGAAAGACGGCCAGACAGGCAAUCCCACCAGGAACACUUUCACCUGAGCCGCAGACAAAAGCAGUUGCUGGGAGAAAAGCGCUGCGGGUCAGACAUCACAGUAACCCGCCUCCUUCUGCUUCUGGUCUUCUCUGGUACAAAUGCACAGUUGUCCAGUCAGCCAGCUGGUCAUGACUGUCAGCAGGACCUCGGCUCGGGCUGCGGAUGGAGGCCAGAUGUGUUUGACCAGCUGAACUGUGCAGUUUGUUCUACGACAAGAACCGUAACCUCAGAGAGGCGACGCGGGCAGAAGUGAGAAACAAAGCCAACUGAUUUGUGGUGCAGGAUGAUUACUUCAUGAUUACUUGAUUAACUUGGUUUUUAUUUGUUUUUUUUCUCACAGGAAAUUCAUAGAAAAAUGUCUUUUGUAGCAGGUGUCACUUCCUGUAUGCAUUCAACAUACCAAUUUUUUUCUGUUUUGAAGUAAAAUUUUCUUCAAUCUCAUUUAUUUAUUUUGAUUUAUUUGUGUUUUACAUGUAUGGUGACCCCAAAAAAAUCACUUAUAUUUAUCAUUUUUUCCUAUUUAUCAACAACUCCAU